rnacentral:antisense_RNA from 1 species
GAAGGGAUGAGGAGCUUUGCGGUUAUGUGCGAAUGUGUACAGCUUUGAAUCUGCUGUUAUUAAGUUGCUGGUGCUGAAAUAACACUUAUUAUUUAUGGUCUAACUGAAAUGGAAACACUGGAAACUUGUUUGAAACUGAAGAAAAAAAUGAAAAAGAAGUUUUUACAAUCAAAACUGCCAUGAAGACUGCUUUACCCAAAAUUUUGGUCCACAGCUUUCAUUGAAUUACUUAUCAGGGCAAACAAAGUUUAGCCAUGUGAACAGGUUCCAAUUUUGUUAGAAAUAAUUUGGAUCCAGCUAUCUUUAUACAAUGGUGAGUUUGUAUUGCACCUCAUGGCUAAAAUUCUGAGGUAAAGGCUUUUGGAUCUUUGUGUCUGUGUGUGUGUGCAUGUGACAAAAACAAGCAAUGGGGAAUCCGGAGUCCCUAUUUAAU